GGGCCCGCACAAGCGGUGGAGCAUGUGGUUCAAUUCGAUGCAGAGCGAAGAACCUUACCUGGGCUUGACAUGGCGGAAGUAGGAACCCGAAAGGGGGACGACUCGUUGAGUCGAGAGCCGUCACAGGUGGUGCAUGGCUGUCGUCAGCUCGUGCCGUGAGGUGUUGGGUUAAGUCCCGCAACGAGCGCAACCCUCACCCUAUGUUGCCAACGGUUCGGCCGGGCACUCUUAGGGAACUGCCGGCGAAGAGCUGGAGGAAGGGGGGGAUGACGUCAAGUCCGUAUGCCCUUUAUGCCCAGGGCUACACACAUGCUACAAUGGUCGGUACAGAGGGUUGCCAACCCGCAAGGGGGAGCCAAUCCCAGAGAACCGAUCUCAGUUCGGAUUGUAGGCUGCAACUCGCCUACAUGAAGUCGGAAUCGCUAGUAAGCGCAGAUCAGCAGGCUGCGCUGAAUACGUUCCCGGGCCUU
rnacentral:rRNA from 1 species